UCCGGUUUAACACCGGCAGUCUCUCUAGAAUUCCCGGCAUGACCCGAUGGCAACUAGAAACAGGGGUUUCGCUCGUUGCGGGACUUAACCCAACAUCUCACGACACGAGCUGACGACAGCCAUGCAGCACCUGUGUUCCGGUUCCCUUUCAGGCACAGCCACCUUUCAGCAGCCUUCCAGACAUGUCAAGGGUAGGUAAGGUUGUUCGCGUUGCAUCGAAUUAAUCCACAUCAUCCACCGCUUGUGCGGGUCCCCGUCAAUUCCUUUGAGUUUUAACCUUGCGGUCGUACUCCCCAGGCGGGGUACUUCCUGCGUUAGCGCCGGCACCCAGAGGGUCGCUCCCCCAGACACCUAGUACCCAUCGUUUACGGCGUGGACUAC
rnacentral:misc_RNA from 1 species